rnacentral:piRNA from 1 species
ACUUCCAGAACAUCUUCCCACCC